GAUGAACGCUGGCGGCGUGCCUAAUACAUGCAAGUCGAGCGAACAGACGAGGAGCUUGCUCCUCUGACGUUAGCGGCGGACGGGUGAGUAACACGUGGAUAACCUACCUAUAAGACUGGGAUAACUUCGGGAAACCGGAGCUAAUACCGGAUAAUAUAUUGUACCGCAUGGUUCAAUAGUGAAAGACGGUUUUGCUGUCACUUAUAGAUGGAUCCGCGCCGCAUUAGCUAGUUGGUAAGGUAACGGCUUACCAAGGCAACGAUGCGUAGCCGACCUGAGAGGGUGAUCGGCCACACUGGAGCUGAGACACGGUCAAGACUCCUACGGGAGGCAGCAGUAGGGAAUCUUCCGCAAUGGGCGAAAGCCUGACGGAGCAACGCCGCGUGAGUGAUGAAGGUCUUCGGAUCGUAAAACUCUGUUAUUAGGGAAGAACAAAUGUGUAAGUAACUAUGCACGUCUUGACGGUACCUAAUCAGAAAGCCACGGCUAACUACGUG
rnacentral:rRNA from 1 species